rfam:Treponema denticola ATCC 35405, complete genome.
GACCUCCUGUCGAUGUUUGAGCCUUACUUCCGCGAUGUUUUGCCGUCAGGCAAAACUCGAAGUUCAAUUCUGUCACAGGCAGAAUUGAUACAAAC